rnacentral:lncRNA from 1 species
GACCCUCUGUUUGUCAUCUGGACUGUAGUAUAUAAAAAUCUAAAAAACAGAUCGAGGAACUGAUGGUGCUUUGGAAAUCUAACAAAGCCUGAUAAAAUCCAUGACCAGCCUUUUUUUCUGCAUGGAAUUUCAGAUAGCAAGUCCAAUCAUGGAGUAAACCAAAGUAUUGCUCCCAAAGUUUAAUGGAUCUGGCUCUAUGUUAGAAAUAACUGCACAAUGAAAGCCUGAUUAAGACUUUUCUUUCUGACAUUCAUAUGAUUAUAUAUUUAGAACUCUAUUAACAGAGACACUAAUUCACUGGGAAUUAAAUAAACCCAUUUCACGCUUUGAAUUUAUGAUUGGUGCCAUAGAUUGUAAGAUUUCUUGCAAGAUUUUAUAGAGCAGUCUGUCAUUCACACAUUUAUUGCUGGCAGCGCUGACAGGGAUUGGUAGAACGUGUGUGAGAAGUUUAAUCCCAUAUAUUUAUUAAUAAAUUAGAUAGUAUCUUAUAAGUCCUGCUUGCUUUCUCUAAACUCUUUAAUUGUACAAUCUCUGACAGAACAGCAGGGACUGUUCUUUGGAGAAAAUAUAUUAUGCAGAAAAAGAAAACACAGAGGAUGCAGCAUUUAGAGGAACAUAUAGGAAUAAUAAGAGAAUGCAGAAGGUGUCCGUGUCAUGUGGAAGAUGUUUGAGGAAAUGCUUUCAGGCUAAAGACCUCCAGGAUACCUCAUACUGAACAGGCUGUUCACCUGCAAGAAGUGAUAUCUAUGAUCACAGCCAUUCUCUGAGUGUUUCUGGUAAGAGAUUAUAAGAAAUGCCUCUGAAUUUCAUAUAUAACACCUAACAAUUAGGAUUAUAGCAUUUUCCUAGAUAUAUACAUUUAUAUCCUAAUUACUGUGCAGAUGCAAUAUACUUAGGUCACCUUUAACCCCUACAGUCAGAGCUGCUCUGUUUGUAUUACUUCUUUUAUUCUAAUAUUCUUUUUAUUCUAACGUUCUAAUGAAUCCAGUGAAUGCUCAGCUACGUAUGUAAAAUGAAACAAUUCUCAUCAGGAUGGAAUAAGACCCUGUAUUUUUGAUACCCAAUGCUUUAUAAUAAUGUGAUAACAGAAGACACUCCAGAGAGGUGAGAAGCGAGUGCAAAUUUAUUCCAGAAAUGGAAUAAAACAGUUCUGUACUAAAACCUGAAGGCA